rfam:Schistosoma haematobium scaffold780_6, whole genome shotgun sequence.
GUCCAGCUGACCAGUUCAAAAUAGGACGAAACGCUAGUCCUUCAU